rnacentral:rRNA from 1 species
UACGGAGGGUGCGAGCGUUAAUCGGAAUUACUGGGCGUAAAGCGUGCGUAGGUGGUUUGUUAAGCAAGAUGUGAAAGCCCCGGGCUCAACCUGGGAACUGCAUUUUGAACUGGCAGGCUAGAGUAUUGUAGAGGGUGGUGGAAUUUCCAGUGUAGCGGUGAAAUGCGUAGAGAUUGGAAGGAACAUCAGUGGCGAAGGCGGCCACCUGGACAAAUACUGACGCUGAGGCACGAAAGCGUGGGGAGCAAACAGGAUUAGAUACCCCCGUA